AUCAAAUUACUUCCAUCACAAAUUGCUGAUAGAACAUGUAGAAGAUAGAAAAAAAAUCACACUCUUAACUUGGGUCUACGUUAGCAGAGUAAAGUGGCGAAUUAAAAACUCGUCUUCAUAAUGGAAGAGAGGCUCUAUCUUGGUUUACAGCAUCUACACCAUCACAUGAAAAGAUAAAUGGCCUCAGUUCCAAAACGCAGCAUGAGGUAAAAUUAGAGCAAAGAUUCGGCCAAAUGCUGUACAGUUUGUCGCCGGAAGGAGGAAGCCGCCGCACGAAUGCACGCAGACGGGACUGAGCGGCCUUCCUGCUCUUUCAGACAGUCCACGAGGGACAUUCCUACAAGUCUGUCUGAUCUGAGCAAACAGAACCUGGAGAAGUGACGCUCAGGACACAGCAAACAUCUACCAGCCCCAUCCCUUCCCCGGGGCAGACUCUCGUUUGAGGAUCUUCUAACUGAGAAACGAAAACAAACGUCGCCAUCGGGUCGGAUGACGUGGAGCGGCCCAGACACCAAGGGGCUCACAGUCACAAAGCCGUCCCUGAUCCGCGGGGCCGGGUGCACCCUCCAGGUACGGUGACAAGCCGGUGA